GUCUAUGGCCAUGCUACCCUGAACAAGUUCGAUCCCAUCUGAUCUCAGAAGCUAAGCAGGGUCAGGCCUGGUUAGUACUUGGAUGGGAGACCUCCUAGGAAGACCUGGUACUGUAGGUG
rnacentral:rRNA from 1 species